rnacentral:misc_RNA from 1 species
GAUGAAGAACGUAGCGAAAUGCGAUACUUGGUGUGAUUUGCAGAAUCCCGUGAACCAUCGAGUCUUUGAACGCAAGUUGCGCCUCAAGCCAUUAGGUUGAGGGCACGUCUGCCUGGGCGUCACAUAUCGUUGCCUGAUGCCAGUUUCCUCGUGAUGGGUGACUGUGCAGGGCGAAUGAUGGCUUCCCGUGAGCAUUGUUGCCUCAUGGUUGGUUGAAAAUUGAGUCCUUGGUAGGGAGCGCCGUGAUAGAUGGUGGUUGAGUGACGAACGAGACCCAAUCAUGUGAGACCCCUACCGAAUUUGGCCUUCAUGACCCACAUGCGUCUUUGGAACGCUCAUGACGAGACCUCAGGUCAGGCGGGGCUACCCGCUGAGUUUAAGCAUAUCAAUAAGCGGAGGA